UCUGCCUUGUCAUUUUAUCCAGAUAAGAGUAUAUGAAGGAGUGAAUAAAAUACUAAAAGGGUGGAAAAGAUCCCAGUAAAAUGUGCUGUAACCAUAUCAUAGGAGAACCCUAAUUGUGGGGAGAAGAUGGGA